UUCACAACAGAAAAUGAGCACAAAACCCCUCUAUAGCCAGAGAGUGAUUGUCUACAAAGUCCUAUGUGGUAGAAAUAAGGCUUUGCCCCAAGGAGCCAUCUGGCUGUGUGCCCUCUCCCACACGCACACUUCCAUUUGGCACACUUAUUGUUAUCCUGUGCUGUGAGGGAACAGAGGUACUGGCCACGGAUCCAUUGCAGAGGAGCCAGCUUAUACUCCCACGGUGCUAGGAAGGAGGCGGGACAGAUGAAAACAUCGAGGCUUAGAGGGGUUUCUGAGUAGCUGAGAAGUCAGGACUUCACACUCCCGAUCUUUCCCCUGGCCUCCAGUUUGCCUGGCAAAGUCACAGGAAGUAUCUCCAUGGCACCGCAUCAGCCCUCACAGAGCAGGAAACCUUGAUUUCUACAGAGGCUGUUUCCUCCCAGCCUUGUGCAAGGCCCACUGCAGAGACAAAAUUAUGGUGGCCAAAGUGUGAAUGCCAAGGCCACACUGGCCUCCAUCCCUGGGAUUUGCUGGUAGAAGAAAGGGAAUCAGCGCUGACUGAGCUCCUACUAUGUGCCCUUCCUGGGCCUGGCACUGGAAUCACAGGAUGAAUGAAUAAGGCAUAUUUCCUGCCCUGAGGAGGCGUCUAUAGGGGAAGUCGGAAUUAAGGCACCUCCAGAAUUCUGAGGUCAAGGGAAUGUCAACAGAGCUGUGAACAAAAUGCCCAAAGCCAUGAAAAUCUACAGAGAGAGACUCGAAGGGGAGGAAUGGGGCCAGGCUGAGGUCGGGAUGGUGGAGGAGGUGGUGGAGGUGAUGAGGUACCAGAGCAACCUCGAAGAAAGCUGAGAGGCAGGAGACCGCCAAAGGCAAACUUGGAACACCUGGUGACUCCGACUAACUCUCCAUGUGGUGUCCUUGAGGACUUUUAUGAUACUGCUACCACUGCUAAUAGUAAUAAAAGCCACUAUUUAAUGU
ensembl:lncRNA LINC01353 long intergenic non-protein coding RNA 1353